rnacentral:rRNA from 1 species
ACUGCGAAUGGCUCAUUAAAUCAGUUAUCGUUUAUUUGAUAGUACCUUACUACUUGGAUAACCGUGGUAAUUCUAGAGCUAAUACAUGCUGAAAACCCCAACUUCGGGAGGGGUGUAUUUAUUAGAUAAAAAACCAACGCCCUUCGGGGCUUCUUGGUGAUUCAUGAUAACUUCACGGAUCGCAUGGCCUUGCGCCGGCGACGGUUCAUUCAAAUUUCUGCCCUAUCAACUUUCGAUGGUAAGGUAUUGGCUUACCAUGGUUUCAACGGGUAACGGGGAAUUAGGGUUCGAUUCCGGAGAGGGAGCCUGAGAAACGGCUACCACAUCCAAGGAAGGC